rnacentral:rRNA from 1 species
GAUGAACGCUAGCUACAGGCUUAACACAUGCAAGUCGAGGGGCAUCACAGUGUAGCAAUACACGGGUGGCGACCGGCGCACGGGUGCGUAACACGUAUCCAAUCUGCCCGUUACUCGGGGAUAGCCUUCUGAAAGGAAGAUUAAUACCCGAUGGCAUGUAUUUCCGGCAUCGGAGAUACAUUAAAGAUUUAUCGGUAACGGAUGAGGAUGCGUACGAUUAGCUGGUUGGCGGGGUAACGGCCCACCAAGGCUACGAUCGUUAGGGGUUCUGAGAGGAAGGUCCCCCCACACUGGAACUGAGACACGGUCCAGACUCCUACGGGAGGCAGCAGUGAGGAAUAUUGGUCAAUGGUCGAGAGACUGAACCAGCCAAGUAGCGUGAAGGAUGACUGCCCUACGGGUUGUAAACUUCUUUUGUUUGGGAAUAAAUGAUACUACGUGUAGUAUUUUGCAUGUACCUUACGAAUAAGCAUCGGCUAAUUCCGUGCCAGCAGCCG